GGAUUACAGCAACGGACAUCCGACUGGAUCAAAGGAUGCGCUGUGCAGGGAUAAUUAACGUAGAGAACUUUUGCCGAGAACACCCGAAGCAGAGCGUACACGGACAAAGAUAAAGAACGCUUGUGUGUGGGGAGUCACCGAGUAGGACGUACUGGGGCAGAGCUCUCGCACAGGGUAGAACAUGCUUGCGUAAAAUACCCACGGGAGGCAUGGAGAGGCCGAAUGCCAGCAGAGAAAUUCAUACACAUCGUAACUAGAC